UACGUAGGGUGCGAGCGUUAAUCGGAAUUACUGGGCGUAAAGUGUGCGCAGGCGGCAAAGCAAGUCGAGUGUGAAAGCCCCCGGGCUCAACCUGGGAAUGGCGAUGGAUACUGGCUCGCUAGAGUGCGGUAGAGGAGAGUGGAAUUCCCGGUGUAGCAGUGAAAUGCGUAGAGAUCGGGAGGAACACCAGUGGCGAAGGCGGCGAUCUGGGAAGAUACUGACGCUGAGGUGCGAAAGCGUGGGGAGCAAACAGG
rnacentral:rRNA from 1 species